rnacentral:rRNA from 1 species
CCGCGGUAAUUCCAGCUCCCAAAGCGUCUUCUACUUCUUCUCCCCUUGGAGGGUUCGUAGUUGAACUGUGAGCCGGGCUGGCGCCGCGCUCCGAGCCACACACAGAGGGUGCGUGGUACGUGGCGCGCGCUUUCCGCGAACACUCAGACACAAGCAUCGCGGGAACGCUUCCACACACCACGCGUGUCAUGCACGCACGGGGCGCCCGCGAGUCUUUACUGUGACCACAGAAGCGCGGCCCGAGCAGUCCGCCGGAACGAAUUGCAAAGCAUGACAAAACAAACUAUCAGCCUCCGGGCCACCGUUUCGGCUUUUGUUGG